GUAUCCGCCGUGCCCACGAGUCCCCCGGGGGACCUUCAGUACAGGGCAUCCGUGGCUGAUGGCGGUCACCACGUUGACUACUUUCUUGGAGGGCUGAAGGUUUCUGUAGACCUUAGCAAUCCAGCUAGGAGGUUGAAGUUUUUGAAUUCUCCAGGCAGCAACCGCUGUGGGCAAUCCAUAAUUUUCUUAAGACUCACUGUACUAGGGGCCGGGAGAAAUAAUUGCUCAGCCGUUAGUUGCUGCUCUUGCAGAGGACCCAGGUUCGGUUCCCAGCACCCACAUACAGAGAAACCAACACCCUUUUCUGACCCCCUAGGCACUAGGUAUGUACUUGAUGCACAUAAAUACAUGAAGGCAAAACACAUACCCGUGGAAUCAAAACAAAUUUAAAACGUAAAGCCGGGCGGUGGCGGGGCACGCCUUUAAUCCCAGCACUCGCGAGGCAGAGGCAGGCUGAUCUCUGAGUUCCAGGACAGUCAACGCUGUUACACAUUGAAACUCUGAUAAAUUAAAAUAUAUUUUGUACAAGAUUAGAUACAAAUCCACAUUUUGGAUUUUGGUUAUACGUUUUUUUUCCUUAAAUAUGAAAACUCAUAAAUUUAACUUGAGUGUUAUAAUUACACUUCACACUAAAAUGAUCUUUUUCAGUUGAAAAAAAAUGCAAAGACCAUCACAAACGUUUCCUUCCAUUAAAAAGUGAGAGGCAUAAUGCAAGCAUAUUGUAUAAGUGAGGGAGUGAUCCGUAACAUUGCCUUUAGGGUACUGCCCACAUACAUAAUGUCCUAACACAGCAGGUGCUACUGCACUCCAUUGUUUCUCUUCAUUCAGCCCUGGGGCCUAAUGUUUGCAGUUACUGGACAGGUACUGGAACCUGGCAGAGACAGUCGGGGUUAGAGCCCACCUCUGUCACUUUCUGCUUCUAACUCCUUGGGUAAGUCCCUUCACUUCUCAACCUCCCUUCACUGUAAGGAUAGCAAUACCUCCCAGAGUACGGAUUUAAACAAAGCAGUUCAUAUAGGGCCACGUGUUACAGUAUUGCAGUCUCUAUCUCUUAAGGCUCACAUGGGGUUUCAGUCAAGGAGAAGGCAGAUUAUUUUUCCACGAAGUAGUAAAUUGCAAUAACUUUCUAAGUAUCCAUCAUUCCAUUAAUCUUUUGCUAUCAUUAAAUUUCACCAAGAAUUUCACUGUCAAUCUGACAGUCCCUGGUCUGGUAGGUUCCUGCAAAUCCUUUUCCUCAUUUCAACACCUUUCAAGAGUUCUUCAUGGCCAAAACAUAAUAGAAGGUACAGAAGGAACACUAGAGCCCUGCUGGAGGAAGACUUUGGUCAGAAGUUUUCCACAGCAGAAGGAAGCAUCCUGUUGAGAAAUCUCAUAUACUUUCAGUGAUGGGCCAAAACUUUGUCAGGAAUCACUGAGCUGUGGAAGGAGUGUUAAAUAGCAUUGUUCUCAAUUUUAAAUUAUAACAUUUGCAAGAGAAAAUCGAUUUCUUAGAAUGAGGAAUUGCGAAGUUCACUUCCUAUGCCGCUCUGACUAUUUGGAGAUAAUAGAAGCUGAUAGAGAAGAAAACCGACAGAACCAAUCAUCCUCCUUUCAUCUGCUGAUGGGAAACACAUUGACAAUGAUAAUUACCAGAAGCCUAU